CAGGCUUGGAGUACACACUCAAGGUGCUGACAUAGAUGCUGUUUGUGUUGCUCCUAGACAUGUAGAAAGAUCGGAUUUUUUUCAGUUGUUCUUUGAAAAACUGAAACAUCAGGAGGAAAUAAAAAACCUAACAUGGCUGUACAUCACGUAAGAAUCUUUGUGGUCCGCUUCUCCCCUGCCCUUGGUUUGAGAAUGAGUUGGCUGUAUCAAAAAGCAAGGCUGUCCCUGGGAGCCCUGCUUUCAUCUCCGGUGCAGUAAGGGGCCUGGACAUGCACGCCGGGGGAGGAGGGGGCAGCCUGAAAACUCAGGAAGGUGACGGUGAUGUGGAAAGGCUCCUGUCAGUCCCUUGGCCGUGCUGUUCCUCUGGAUAGACUUUAGGAGCUCUCGUUCAUCCUCCUCUGGCCACGUUCCUCUCUGGCUCCUCAGCCUGAGCCUUUGCGGCCGGGAUGCACACUGUCAGCUUUCCAGAAAGUUCACAGGGCUGUGCUGGGAACGUACAG